rnacentral:rRNA from 1 species
GUCCAUGCCGUAAACGAUGUCUACUAGCCGUUGGGGCCUUUGAGGCUUUAGUGGCGCAGCUAACGCGAUAAGUAGACCGCCUGGGGAGUACGGUCGCAAGACUAAAACUCAAAUGAAUUGACGGGGGCCCGCACAAGCGGUGGAGCAUGUGGUUUAAUUCGAUGCAACGCGAAGAACCUUACCUGGUCUUGACAUAGUAAGAACUUUCCAGAGAUGGAUUGGUGCCUUCGGGAACUUACAUACAGGUGCUGCAUGGCUGUCGU